rnacentral:rRNA from 1 species
UUUAUGGAGAGUUUGAUCCUGGCUCAGGAUGAACGCUGGCGGCGUGCCUAAUACAUGCAAGUCGAGCGAACGGACGAGAAGCUUGCUUCUCUGAUGUUAGCGGCGGACGGGUGAGUAACACGUGGAUAACCUACCUAUAAGACUGGGAUAACUUCGGGAAACCGGAGCUAAUACCGGAUAAUAUUUUGAACCGCAUGGUUCAAAAGUGAAAGACGGUCUUGCUGUCACUUAUAGAUGGAUCCGCGCUGCAUUAGCUAGUUGGUAAGGUAACGGCUUACCAAGGCAACGAUGCAUAGCCGACCUGAGAGGGUGAUCGGCCACACUGGAACUGAGACACGGUCCAGACUCCUACGGGAGGCAGCAGUAGGGAAUCUUCCGCAAUGGGCGAAAGCCUGACGGAGCAACGCCGCGUGAGUGAUGAAGGUCUUCGGAUCGUAAAACUCUGUUAUUAGGGAAGAACAUAUGUGUAAGUAACUGUGCACAUCUUGACGGUACCUAAUCAGAAAGCCACGGCUAACUACGUGCCAGCAGCCGCGGUAAUACGUAGGUGGCAAGCGUUAUCCGGAAUUAUUGGGCGUAAAGCGCGCGUAGGCGGUUUUUUAAGUCUGAUGUGAAAGCCCACGGCUCAACCGUGGAGGGUCAUUGGAAACUGGAAAACUUGAGUGCAGAAGAGGAAAGUGGAAUUCCAUGUGUAGCGGUGAAAUGCGCAGAGAUAUGGAGGAACACCAGUGGCGAAGGCGACUUUCUGGUCUGUAACUGACGCUGAUGUGCGAAAGCGUGGGGAUCAAACAGGAUUAGAUACCCUGGUAGUCCACGCCGUAAACGAUGAGUGCUAAGUGUUAGGGGGUUUCCGCCCCUUAGUGCUGCAGCUAACGCAUUAAGCACUCCGCCUGGGGAGUACGACCGCAAGGUUGAAACUCAAAGGAAUUGACGGGGACCCGCACAAGCGGUGGAGCAUGUGGUUUAAUUCGAAGCAACGCGAAGAACCUUACCAAAUCUUGACAUCCUUUGACAACUCUAGAGAUAGAGCCUUCCCCUUCGGGGGACAAAGUGACAGGUGGUGCAUGGUUGUCGUCAGCUCGUGUCGUGAGAUGUUGGGUUAAGUCCCGCAACGAGCGCAACCCUUAAGCUUAGUUGCCAUCAUUAAGUUGGGCACUCUAAGUUGACUGCCGGUGACAAACCGGAGGAAGGUGGGGAUGACGUCAAAUCAUCAUGCCCCUUAUGAUUUGGGCUACACACGUGCUACAAUGGACAAUACAAAGGGCAGCGAAACCGCGAGGUCAAGCAAAUCCCAUAAAGUUGUUCUCAGUUCGGAUUGUAGUCUGCAACUCGACUACAUGAAGCUGGAAUCGCUAGUAAUCGUAGAUCAGCAUGCUACGGUGAAUACGUUCCCGGGUCUUGUACACACCGCCCGUCACACCACGAAAGUUUGUAACACCCGAAGCCGGUGGAGUAACCUUUUAGGAGCUAGCCGUCGAAGGUGGGACAAAUGAUUGGGGUGAAGUCGUAACAAGGUAGCCGUAUCGGAAGGUGCGGCUGGAUCACCUCCUUU